AUUGAACGCUGGCGGCAUGCCUUACACAUGCAAGUCGAACGGCAGCACAGGAGAGCUUGCUCUCUGGGUGGCGAGUGGCGGACGGGUGAGGAAUACAUCGGAAUCUACCUUUUCGUGGGGGAUAACGUAGGGAAACUUACGCUAAUACCGCAUAAGACCUUCGGGUGAAAGCCGGGACCUUCGGCCGUGGCGCGGAUAGA
rnacentral:rRNA from 1 species